UAAUUUCCAUUUCCUGAUUUUUCCAAACCAUAAACUCCACUAAUGCUGAGGCCUGUUGAGUCAGGGACUGGACAGGAAAGAGAGGCACCAGGUAGCUUGUGACUCAUCGGUCUUGCCAUAGUUACUACCUGCUUAGCUCCUCCUCCAGAGAAGCUGCUUCUCCCAGAGCCACAUCACACCAGAAGCAGGCUUUGCUCAACUGACUGCCACUCCCUCAAGGGAAGGGAGCCCUACUGUUCAUCUUGGCAACCCUGGCAGCAAGAGAGACCCAAGACCACUGCAAGAUGGUGUCUAGAGCCCUCCCUGAGAAUCAGAAAGCAUUUUCUGGUCUCAUCCACAUCCCCUUGACUUCAGAGGAAGGCCUAGUCCUUGUGAGUGAUGCUUCAGAAGGACACAUAACCAGAUCGCUCUGCCCUGAAGCAGAAAGUGGACAGGUGUGCCAAGAAAACUCCCUGCCCCACUGGAUGGCACCAAGUGGAACCAUGAAGCAGAAGCCAGUGCAAAACAGUAAAUAAACUGUGGUGUAAUGGCCUGGCCAGACAACACUUGGGAUUAGGGAAGGCAGGCUCCUGGGGGGGUGGCUACCUGGAGACAGAACCUAAAGCUGUAAGGCUGCCUCGGGUAGAGGAUUCUAGUUCAAACAAAGCUGACUACUGUCCUGGGUAAGGACACUCCACUUCAUCAGCCUUGACUUCCUCAUCUGUAACAUGGGGCAGACUGGCCUAGACUGCUUCUGUCACUGCUCUCAGUCUAGGCUUCUGAGCAGCACUACCAUGGGGGAAUCUACAAGCUCUGGCUGCCCGGGUUCAAAUCCCAGCUCUGCUAUUCCCAUGAAAUCCAUGAGUCCCUUCACCUCAUCAACUGUAACUCCUUGUCUAUAACAAGGGAAUGAAGAGAACACCCAAUGAGGCCUAUUUACUACUGUGUGGAUUCAGUGAGGGUGUACCUGGCAUGCAGUGAGGGAUUAAUAACUAUUAUCAUUCUGUGAAUUCUGUGGCCUCCUGCCACCACCAUCCUUUCUAUGGACUGAAUGUGUGUGUCUCCCCCCAGCUCAUGUUGCACGUAGUCCUAAUCCCCAAUGUGUUGGUAUUUGGAGAUGGUGCCCUCGGGAGACAGGGUUAGAUGAGGUCAUGAGGGUGGGGACCUUGUGAUGGGACUGGUGACUCUAUAAGAAGAGAAGAGAAAGAGAUGGAAGAAAAGCCAUGUGAGGGCACAGCAAGAAGGUGGCCAUCUUCAACCCAAGAAGAGAGCCCUCCCAGAUACGACCCUGCUAGGACCUCGAUCUUGGAUUUCCCAGCCUCCAGAACUCUGAGAAAUAAAUUUCUGCUGUUUGAGCCACACAGUCUAAGGUACUUUGCUAUGGGAGCCCAGCAGAUUAAGACAACCCCGUGACCAGCCAUCCCCGUCCCCUUCUCUCUGCAUGGGGCGACCCACCAGGUACCCCCAAACCCAGGAAAAUCAAUAUCAUGCACACCCUGGAGACCUCAUGCAUGAUCUCAAGCAUACACAGGGUCAGGUGAAACUCAACACACCAAGCAGCAGGUAGGGCACAGGCAUUGCAACAGGACAGGACGGACAAGCAGAGAGGAGACAGGUGCGUGGGAGGCCAUGUGCAAUCAGCGAGGGGCGGGGAGCUAGCACACGCCACGACCAAGCAGCCCACGCCAGUGGCGCUUGGCUCCUUACCUCCCCUGCAGGACCUCUGACCACCAGGACUGUGUUCCCCCAAGAAGCUGGAGGCGUGCUGGAAAGAGUAGAGAGCAGAAGACAGGGAGCAGUAGGUAGAGCCAGGUCUACAGGAAAAAGUGCUGGAAAGGGCCCCCGAGGAAGGGUGUUAGGUUUGGGGAGUCCAUGGCAGAGCGGUUUUCAAGAGGCCCAAAAGACCCAAACACUAAAUGAAAAACACCCCCAAGACCAGCCUAUGCUGGGGCACAGAGAAAGGGACGAGAGAGCCAAGGAAGAAGCCCCCACAUACUGGAUUAACCUAGAUGGCCACCUGUCCUCCUACAUGCUGGUGUUGCAUCUGUCCUGGGUGACAAUCUCAGCAGACUUCCUGGGAGGUUGUGAAUAGUCUCUCUAAAGGGAAAGGGACCCCGGGGUGGACAAAUAGCUCUCAAGAAACCCAGGAGCCAGAGUCAAAGGAGGCCAUGCUCUGCAAAGAUGUCCCCUGGAAUCCAAAGGAGACAGAGUGGAGUUUCCAAUCCUGGUUCCACCACAAAUCUCUGGGCAACUCUGGACGAGGUACAUAGCCUCCCUGGGCCUCAGUUUCCCCAUAUACAAGAUGGAGAGAAUGUCCUUAUCUACAACAGAGAAGAAGGUGACACUCUACCAUCUCAAACAUCCAAUCUCCAUAUGGCCAUAAGCAUG